rnacentral:rRNA from 1 species
UGGGGAAUAUUGGACAAUGGGUGAAAGCCUGAUCCAGCAAUGCCGCGUGAGUGAUGAAGGCCUUAGGGUUGUAAAGCUCUUUUACCCGGGAUGAUAAUGACAGUACCGGGAGAAUAAGCCCCGGCUAACUCCGUGCCAGCAGCCGCGGUAAUACGGAGGGGGCUAGCGUUGUUCGGAAUUACUGGGCGUAAAGCGUACGUAGGCGGCUUUGUAAGUUAGAGGUGAAAGCCCGGGGCUCAACUCCGGAAUUGCCUUUAAGACUGCAUCGCUUGAAUCAUGGAGAGGUGAGUGGAAUUCCGAGUGUAGAGGUGAAAUUCGUAGAUAUUCGGAAGAACACCAGUGGCGAAGGCGACUCACUGGACAUGUAUUGACGCUGAGGUACGAAAGCGUGGGGAGCAAACAGG